rnacentral:rRNA from 1 species
UACGUAGGGAUCAAGCGUUGUUCGGAUUUACUGGGCGUAAAGGGCGCGUAGGCGGCAAUUCAAGUCAGCUGUGAAAUCUCCGGGCUUAACUCGGAACGGUCAGCUGAUACUGCUUUGCUAGAGUGCAGAAGGGGCAAUCGGAAUUCUUGGUGUAGCGGUGAAAUGCGUAGAUAUCAAGAGGAACACCGGUGGCGAAGGCGGGUCUCUGGGCCGUAACUGGACGCUGAGGAGCGAAAGCGUGGGGAGCGAACAGG